GGGCGCAUAGCUCAGUUUGGUUAGAGCACCCGCUUGAUAAGCGGGAGGUCGGUGGUUCGAGUCCACCUGUGCCCACCA
rnacentral:tRNA from 1 species